CCCCCCCCCCCCGCUCUCUCUCUCUCUCAUAUAAGGACACUCACGCCUUCUCGAAUUAGUUAUAUCUUCCUGCUCGUACAAGAAAGAUUGACGUCGGAAGGAGGAAAUUAAGAAGAAGAAGAAGAAGAAGAAGAACUACCACUACUACCACCACUACUACUACUACUACCACUACUACUACUACUACUACUACUACUACUACUACUACUACUAUUCAUGAUGGGAAAUUCUGACUCCCACCACGACCACCACCACCACCGCCCUCACCACCACCCUCCCCCCCCUCACCACCACCACCACCACCACCCACCGCCACCACCACCACCACACCACCACCACCACGGACCUCCUCACCACGGCCCCCACCACCCCCCUCCCCCCCCUCACCACCACCACCACCACCACCCACCACCACCACCACCACACCACCACCACGGACCUCACCAUCACGGACCUCACCACCACGAGCAUCAUCACCACUAAAGAGAGAGAGAGAGAGAGAGAGAGAGAGAGAGAGAGAGAGAGAGAGAGAGAGAGAGAGAGAGAGAGAGAGAGAGAGAGAGAGAGAGAUGGAG